CUCUUUUUGAGUUUGGGGCUCUGUAGAGGCUUGGCUUUUAUUUUCUAAGUUCCUGUCUUUCAUAUGAAUGAAAAUGUAACCAGUGUUGUAUGAGAGGUGGAACCUUUUUGUUUGUCACAGAUGUACAACCUGUAUGAAAUAGUGAAAAGUGAGUGUCUUAGGGCAAAGUGAAGUUUUUAGGGAAAGCAUAUAUCUGUCUUGUUGUUGGGUAUGACUGGAGGAAAGCUUUAGGUUAACUGAUAAAUGUAUACUGCACAAUACAUUUGGAAGCUGAAUACAUUUGGAAUAAAUGUUGUAAUCUGUUAGUUCCUGUUGUGAUGUCUGGCACAUCUUAAAUUCUCAGUAAAUGUUUGUCUGAAAGGGAGGUACUGAGUUGAAGAUGUCAAUAUGUUUUUGUUUUUCUUAAUUUUCAUUUUCUGUGUAAAAAAAACUUUUCUUUUUGAAGAGAAAAAAAGGAAGGAAGGAAGUAGGUAGGUAAGUCAGGUGUGAGGGUGCGUGACUGUUUCCACUUCCCAUUGGUGGAAGGAGGAUCAGUAGUUCAAGGACAGCCUGGGUUAGAGGCUAGCCUGGUCUACAUAUUGAGUUGGAGGGCAACAAGUCUACAGGAAACUGUUGUCCCCAACAAAUAAUCAAAAUAACAAUUAAAAAUAAAUAUGUUGGAAACUUUAGCCUUAAAAGUUUCAUGGUUUUAAACAAAUUCUACUUUUGUGUGUAUCUGUAACUGCUUUUAAUAUAAAGGUACUUUUUACUAGUAAUGUUUAAAACAGUUGUUAAACUUUCAACUUUAUAAAGAAACUUUCUAAUUUUAGCUUAGGAAGUUUGGGGUAAUCUAUUCUUACUAAUCUCUAGUACUAAAAUAUUGCCCCCAAGGGCUGGAGAGGUAGCUCAGUGGUUAAGAACCUACUGCUCUUUGUAGAUAGGAGUUGGGUUCCCAGCACCUAUAACUCCAGCUUUAAGAGAUCUAACCUCCUCUCACCUCCACUUCUUGCAGCAUUUAUUUACAUAGUCUCACACACACACAUAAGUAAAAAUAAUAAACAUAAAUCUUAAAAAAAGAAGUUUCCACUAGGUGUAAUGGCACACCCCUUUAAUUGUCAGCACUCAGGAGGUAGAGGCUACAGACCUUAGUGGGUUUGAGGCCAGACUAAGCUGCAUAGUGAGACUGUC
rnacentral:lncRNA from 1 species